AAAUAUGAUGAAACUCACAGCUGAG
rnacentral:miRNA from 1 species